rnacentral:rRNA from 1 species
GACGAACGCUGGCGGCGUGCCUAAUACAUGCAAGUAGAACGCUGAAGGAGGAGCUUGCUCUUCUGGAUGAGUUGCGAACGGGUGAGUAACGCGUAGGUAACCUGCCUGGUAGCGGGGGAUAACUAUUGGAAACGAUAGCUAAUACCGCAUAAGAGUAGAUGUUGCAUGACAUUUGCUUAAAAGGUGCAAUUGCAUCACUACCAGAUGGACCUGCGUUGUAUUAGCUAGUUGGUGGGGUAACGGCUCACCAAGGCAACGAUACAUAGCCGACCUGAGAGGGUGAUCGGCCACACUGGGACUGAGACACGGCCCAGACUCCUACGGGAGGCAGCAGUAGGGAAUCUUCGGCAAUGGACGGAAGUCUGACCGAGCAACGCCGCGUGAGUGAAGAAGGUUUUCGGAUCGUAAAGCUCUGUUGUAAGAGAAGAACGAGUGUGAGAGUGGAAAGUUCACACUGUGACGGUAUCUUACCAGAAAGGGACGGCUAACUACGUGCCAGCAGCCGCGGUAAUACGUAGGUCCCGAGCGUUGUCCGGAUUUAUUGGGCGUAAAGCGAGCGCAGGCGGUUAGAUAAGUCUGAAGUUAAAGGCUGUGGCUUAACCAUAGUACGCUUUGGAAACUGUUUAACUUGAGUGCAAGAGGGGAGAGUGGAAUUCCAUGUGUAGCGGUGGAAUGCGUAGAUAUAUGGAGGAACACCGGUGGCGAAAGCGGCUCUCUGGCUUGUAACUGACGCUGAGGCUCGAAAGCGUGGGGAGCAAACAGG